rnacentral:rRNA from 1 species
UACGUAGGGUGCGAGCGUUGUCCGGAAUUAUUGGGCGUAAAGAGCUCGUAGGCGGCCUGUCGCGUCGGAUGUGAAAGCCCGGGGCUUAACCCCGGGUCUGCAUUCGAUACGGGCAGGCUAGAGUGUGGUAGGGGAGAUCGGAAUUCCUGGUGUAGCGGUGAAAUGCGCAGAUAUCAGGAGGAACACCGGUGGCGAAGGCGGAUCUCUGGGCCAUUACUGACGCUGAGGAGCGAAAGCUAGGGGAGCGAACAGG